rnacentral:tRNA from 1 species
UGGGGAUUAGCCAAGCGGUAAGGCAACGGACUUUGACUCCGUCAACCUAGGUUCGAAUCCUAGAUCCCCAGCCA